rnacentral:tRNA from 1 species
GUGCCUGUAGCUCAGUUGGUAGAGCAAGGGAUUUUUAAUCCCUGGGUCGCGGGUUCGAUCCCCGCCGGGCGCACCA